rnacentral:rRNA from 1 species
AUGGCGGUGGCGGAGCUCUGGGAGACGCUGAAUCAGGCGAUCUUAGCGUACACGGGGCUGUCCCCGACGGCCUUCUUCACCGCCGUGGCGGUCGCCGCCGCGCUGUACCACGUCGUGUCGGGGAUCUUCGCGCCGCCGCCGCCUCCCCGGCAGCGGCCGCGCGAGGAGCCCGAGGCGGAGCCGCUCCCGCCUCCCGUGCAGCUGGGCGAGGUCGACGAGGAGGAGCUCCGGCAGUACGACGGGUCCGACCCCAAGAAGCCUCUCCUGAUGGCCAUCAAGGGUCAGAUCUAUGACGUCACGCAGAGCAGAAUGUUCUACGGACCUGGUGGACCUUAUGCCCUAUUUGCUGGCAAAGACGCCAGCAGAGCUCUAGCCAAGAUGUCUUUCGAGCCCCAGGACCUGAACGGUGAUACCUCUGGCCUCGGGCCGUUUGAGCUCGAUGCACUGCAAGACUGGGAAUACAAGUUCAUGAGCAAGUAUGUGAAGGUCGGUACCAUCAAGAAGGCAGCUCCCGCAGAAGACGGCACCACAAGCAAAUCCCAUACCCCCUUGUGGUGGCAAUAA